rnacentral:rRNA from 1 species
UACGGGGAGCACAACCGUUACCCGGAAUCACUGGGCGUAGAGGGUGCGUAGGCGGCCUGAUAAUUCGCGGGUGUAAUCCUCCGGCUUACCCGGAGAACUGCGUGCGAAAAUGUCAGGCUAGAGGGUGCUAGAGGUGACUGGAAUUCCAGGUGUAGCGGUGAAAUGCGUUGAUAUCUGGAGGAAUGCCGAAGGGGAAGCCAGGUCACUGGGGCACUCCUGACGCUGAGGCACGAAAGCUGGGGGAGCAAACCGGAUUAGAAA